GAGAUGGCAAGAAAUAGAGAAGCAGUCAGUGAUGGAGGCUGCAAGAGUUGUAACACUAACCAAAGGCUCUUUUUAGAAUCAUCGUUUUCCCUGGCAGGUGGUACAGCCAAGCAGACAGGCAAGUAAGUGGCCAUACUGCUACUGCCUCAUGUAGGAUCCGGCAGGCUGGUGGGUUAUCAGUCCUCACGUGGGACCCUCCCACCAUGGCAGCUGAGCACAUCCAAGCUGGGGGAUCCUGAAGAGACCUUCACCUGGGUGCCACGUGGAAGAUUGGCCAGCACCAUUUUGACUCCUGUGGAUGGUUCCAGGUAAAGACAAUCCUUGCACAAGGCUUCCAACUCGACCCGCCUACUGACCUGGAGAAUGAAAGUGUCCUGCCUCGGGGCCCCUCAGAUCAGCAUCUGCUCCUGCCCCAGCGUCGGCGAUGCAUGUCUCUGUGGCCGCUGUGCUCGCACCCAAACUGCACCUGGUCACCUGUCUACAUUCAGAUUUAGAUGAAAGCCACACCAUGGAGGCAGCCAGAGGCCCAUGGGAGAUGUCUGGAUUCGCAGAGGAAUAGCUCCAUGUGAUGCAAACCUUGACUAAUGGGAACAGGAAAAGGGAGGAAACCAGGAAGAUAAAUCUCCCUCCCUUCUCAUUGCUCCUUGCAACCCUUCCCACUUGAAGCAUGACCACAUUUAAUGAACAACCUGCUGUGUCUCUUGGAAGCUUGCUGCAAGGCAGCAAUCAGCACAAUAACAUUGUAUUGUAUCUUCCUCUGCUUCACUUCUCUUCCUCCCUCACCCUCACUGCCCUGAGCUGGCACAUCCCAAAGAAAGCAUUACCACAUUAAUCCUUGUCUCAGACUCUGCUUUCAAGAGGAUCUAGAAUCUUGCUCUGUUGCCCUGGCUAGAGUGCAGUGAUGUAAUAAUAGCUCACUGAAACCUCGAACUCCUGGGCU
rnacentral:lncRNA from 10 species